rnacentral:rRNA from 1 species
CCUACGGGCGACAGCAGUGAGGAAUAUUGGUCAAUGGGCGAGAGCCUGAACCAGCCAAGUCGCGUGAGGGAGUACUGCCCUAUGGGUUGUAAACCUCUUUUGUCGGGGAGCAAAAGCCGGACGUGUCCGGCUGUGAGAGUACCCGAAGAAAAAGCAUCGGCUAACUCCGUGCCAGCAGCCGCGGUAAUACGGAGGAUGCGAGCGUUAUCCGGAUUUAUUGGGUUUAAAGGGUGCGCAGGCGGAUUUUUAAGUCAGCGGUAAAAUCGUUGGGCUCAACCCCAUCCAGCCGUUGAAACUGGGGAUCUAGAGUGUGCGAGAGGUAUGCGGAAUGCGUGGUGUAGCGGUGAAAUGCAUAGAUAUCACGCAGAACCCCGAUUGCGAAGGCAGCAUACCGGUGCACAACUGACGCUCAGGCACGAAAGCGUGGGUAUCGAACAGGAUUAGAUACCCUGGUAGUC